GAUGAACGCUGGCGGCGUGCCUAAUACAUGCAAGUCGAGCGAACGGACGAGAAGCUUGCUUUUCUGAUGUUAUCGGCGGACGGGUGAGUAACACGUGGAUAACCUACCUAUAAGACUGGGAUAACUUCGGGAAACCGGAGCUAAUACCGGAUAAUAUUUUGAACCGCAUGGUUCAAAAGUGAAAGACGGUCUUGCUGUCACUUAUAGAUGGAUCCGCGCUGCAUUAGCUAGUUGGUAAGGUAACGGCUUACCAAGGCAACGAUGCAUAGCCGACCUGAGAGGGUGAUCGGCCACACUGGAACUGAGACACGGUCCAGACUCCUACGGGAGGCAGCAGUAGGGAAUCUUCCGCAAUGGGCGAAAGCCUGACGGAGCAACGCCGCGUGAGUGAUGAAGGUCUUCGGAUCGUAAAACUCUGUUAUUAGGGAAGAACAUAUGUGUAAGUAACUGUGCACAUCUUGACGGUACCUAAUCAGAAAGCCACGGCUAACUACGUG
rnacentral:rRNA from 1 species